ACUCGUAGACUCCUACGGGAGGCAGCAGUGAGGAAUAUUGGUCAAUGGAGGGAACUCUGAACCAGCCAUCCCGCGUGUAGGAAGACGGCCUUAUGGGUUGUAAACUACUUUUAUACAGGAAGAAAACGUACCCUCGUGAGGGUGCCUGACGGUACUGUAGGAAUAAGCACCGGCUAACUCCGUGCCAGCAGCCGCGGUAAUACGGAGGGUGCGAGCGUUAUCCGGAUUUAUUGGGUUUAAAGGGUCCGUAGGCGGAUUAAUAAGUCAGUGGUGAAAUCCCAUCGCUUAACGAUGGAACUGCCAUUGAUACUGUUAGUCUUGAAUGAGGGUGCAGUGGUUGGAAUGUGUAGUGUAGCGGUGAAAUGCAUAGAUAUUACACAGAACACCGAUUGCGAAGGCAGAUCACUAACCCUAAAUUGACGCUGAGGGACGAAAGCGUGGGGAGCGAACAGGAUUAGAUACCCUGGUAG
rnacentral:rRNA from 1 species